rnacentral:rRNA from 1 species
GGGUUGUGAGGUUAAGCGACUAAGCGUACACGGUGGAUGCCCUGGCAGUCAGAGGCGAUGAAGGGCGUGCUAAUCUGCGAUAAGCGCCGGUAAGGUGAUAUGAACCGUUAUAACCGGCGAUACCCGAAUGGGGAAACCCAGUGUGAUUCGUCACACUAUCAUUAACUGAAUCCAUAGGUUAAUGAGGCGAACCGGGGGAACUGAAACAUCUAAGUACCCCGAGGAAAAGAAAUCAACCGAGAUUCCCCCAGUAGCGGCGAGCGAACGGGGAGGAGCCCAGAGCCUGAAUCAGCAUGUGUGUUAGUGGAAGCGUCUGGAAAGGCGCGCGAUACAGGGUGACAGCCCCGUACACAAAAGCGCAUGUGCUGUGAGCUCGAUGAGUAGGGCGGGACACGUGGUAUCCUGUCUGAAUAUGGGGGGACCAUCCUCCAAGGCUAAAUACUCCUGACUGACCGAUAGUGAACCAGUACCGUGAGGGAAAGGCGAAAAGAACCCCGGCGAGGGGAGUGAAAAAGAACCUGAAACCGUGUACGUACAAGCAGUGGGAGCACCCUUUUGGGUGUGACUGCGUACCUUUUGUAUAAUGGGUCAGCGACUUAUAUUCUGUAGCAAGGUUAACCGCAUAGGGGAGCCGGAGGGAAACCGAGUCUUAAUUGGGCGUUAAGUUGCAGGGUAUAGACCCGAAACCCGGUGAUCUAGCCAUGGGCAGGUUGAAGGUUGGGUAACACUAACUGGAGGACCGAACCGACUAAUGUUGAAAAAUUAGCGGAUGACCUGUGGCUGGGGGUGAAAGGCCAAUCAAACCGGGAGAUAGCUGGUUCUCCCCGAAAGCUAUUUAGGUAGCGCCUCGUGAAUUCAUCUCCGGGGGUAGAGCACUGUUUCGGCUAGGGGGCCAUCCCGGCUUACCAACCCGAUGCAAACUGCGAAUACCGGAGAAUGUUAUCACGGGAGACACACGGCGGGUGCUAACGUCCGUCGUGAAGAGGGAAACAACCCAGACCGCCAGCUAAGGUCCCAAAGUCAUGGUUAAGUGGGAAACGAUGUGGGAAGGCCCAGACAGCCAGGAUGUUGGCUUAGAAGCAGCCAUCAUUUAAAGAAAGCGUAAUAGCUCACUGGUCGAGUCGGCCUGCGCGGAAGAUGUAACGGGGCUAAACCAUGCACCGAAGCUGCGGCAGCGA